rnacentral:rRNA from 1 species
UACAGAGGGUGCAAGCGUUAAUCGGAGUUACUGGGCGUAAAGGGCGCGUAGGCGGUUGAAUAAGUGAGAUGUAAAAUCCCUGGGCUUAACCUAGGCAGGUCAUCUUAAACUGUUCGACUGGAGUAUUGUAGAGGGUAGUGGAAUUUCCGGUGUAGCGGUGAAAUGCGUAGAGAUCGGAAGGAACACCAGUGGCGAAGGCGGCUACCUGGACAAAUACUGACGCUGAGGCGCGAAAGCGUGGGGAUCAAACAGG